GGCCGUGGCUCAGCGGUAGAGCGCUUGCCUUGCACGUGCGAGGCCCCUGGGUUGGAUCCUCAGCACCA
rnacentral:tRNA from 1 species